GGAGUUGUAGCUCAGUGGUAGAGCGCUUGCCUAGCAUGUGUGAGACACUGGGUUCGAGUCUCAGCAUCACAU
rfam:Ictidomys tridecemlineatus contig055711, whole genome shotgun sequence.